rnacentral:rRNA from 1 species
AUGAACGCUAGCUACAGGCUUAACACAUGCAAGUCGAGGGGCAGCAUGAUUGAAGCUUGCUUCAAUCGAUGGCGACCGGCGCACGGGUGAGUAACACGUAUCCAACCUGCAGAUAACUCGGGGAUAGCCUUUCGAAAGAAAGAUUAAUACCCGAUAGUAUAGUUUUUCCGCAUGGUUUCACUAUUAAAGAAUUUCGGUUAUCGAUGGGGAUGCGUUCCAUUAGAUAGUUGGCGGGGUAACGGCCCACCAAGUCAACGAUGGAUAGGGGUUCUGAGAGGAAGGUCCCCCACAUUGGAACUGAGACACGGUCCAAACUCCUACGGGAGGCAGCAGUGAGGAAUAUUGGUCAAUGGACGAGAGUCUGAACCAGCCAAGUAGCGUGAAGGAUGACUGCCCUAUGGGUUGUAAACUUCUUUUAUACGGGAAUAAAGUGGAGUAUGCAUACUCCUUUGUAUGUACCGUAUGAAUAAGGAUCGGCUAACUCCGUGCCAGCAGCCGCGGUAAUACGGAGGAUCCGAGCGUUAUCCGGAUUUAUUGGGUUUAAAGGGAGCGUAGGCGGGUGCUUAAGUCAGUUGUGAAAGUUUGCGGCUCAACCGUAAAAUUGCAGUUGAUACUGGGUACCUUGAGUGCAGCAUAGGUAGGCGGAAUUCGUGGUGUAGCGGUGAAAUGCUUAGAUAUCACGAAGAACUCCGAUUGCGAAGGCAGCUUACUGGACUGUAACUGACGCUGAUGCUCGAAAGUGUGGGUAUCAAACAGGAUCAGCCACCCUCGUAGUCAACACAGUAAACGAUGUAUACUCGCUGUUGGCGAUACACAGUCAGCGGCCAAGCGAAAGCAUUAAGUAUUCCACCUGGGGAGUACGCCGGCAACGGUGAAACGCAAAGGAAGUGACGGGGGCCCGCACAAGCGGAGGAACACGUGGUUGAAUUCGAUGAUACGCGAGGAACCUUACCCGGGCUUAAAUUGCAGCGGAAUGUAGUGGAAACAUUACAGCCUUCGGGCCGCUGUGAAGGUGCUGCAUGGUUGUCGUCAGCUCGUGUCGUGAGAUGUUGGGUUAAGUCCCGCAACGAGCGCAACCCCUAUGUUCAGUAGCCAGCAGGUAAGGCCGGGCACUCUGGACAGACUGCCGGGGAUAACCCGGAGGAAGGCGGGGAUGACGUCAAAUCAUCAUGCCCCUUACGGCCUGGGCUACACACGUGCUACAAUGGCGUAAACAAAGGGAAGCAAAGCUGUGAGGCCGAGCAAAUCUCAAAAAUAACGUCUCAGUUCGGACUGUAGUCUGCAACCCGACUACACGAAGCUGGAAUCGCUAGUAAUCGCGGAUCAGAAUGCCGCGGUGAAUACGUUCCCGGGCCUUGUACACACCGCCCGUCAAGCCAUGAAAGCCGGGGGUACCUGAAGUACGUAACCGCAAGGAGCGUCCUAGGGUAAAACUGGUGAUUGGGGCU